rnacentral:rRNA from 1 species
UACGUAGGGUGCAAGCGUUAAUCGGAAUUACUGGGCGUAAAGCGUGCGCAGGCGGUAAUGUAAGACAGGUGUGAAAUCCCCGGGCUUAACCUGGGAACUGCAUUUGUGACUGCAUUGCUGGAGUGCGGCAGAGGGGGAUGGAAUUCCGCGUGUAGCAGGUGAAAUGCGUAGAUAUGCGGAGGAACACCGAUGGCGAAGGCAAUCCCCUGGGCCUGCACUGACGCUCAUGCACGAAAGCGUGGGGAGCAAACAGG